ensembl:lncRNA
CCCCUGCCCGGAGUGAGGAGGGCCUAACUUGACUGCCGGCGGCUUGGGGGUGGGGAUUUCCUAGGCCCGCGCUUCCGCCGCCCGCCCCGGGCUCCAGCGAGCCCUGAGGCUGGGCUUGGGGCCCGCGGGCCGCCCGGGAUUCCAGCCGAGGACCCUAGCCAGGCUCAGAAGGUCCAGCGGUCGCCGCUGCCUCCCUGAAGCCUAUGGAAAUCCGGCCUCCCUUUGUGUGCAAGACGGCUGUUAAGGGCUGGGGGACAAAGGGGGCGCAGGCCCCCCCACUGCUGCGUGUCACCCUAAGGAGGGCUUUGGUGGAAGCUGCUCCUUCCCCUUCAGGUUUUCAGCCCUUUAGUCCCAGAGCCCACGUAUCUUCCGUUCCUUCGGGAGGAGUCGCAAGACCCGAAAGCUGGAGGCGGCGGCGACUUAACAACCACCCAGAAGUGGGAGCCGGACCAGAGGCUCCAACACGGAAACACAGGACAAGACCCACCCUGGAGCACUGUCAGACCUGUGAGACCUUCUCCUCCUUCUUCCCCAUACUUAGCCGGCAUCCACCCUCUGGGCCUUCCCAGCCUGGGCUUGCCACCUUCCAGGAGCCCUCGGGAUUGGAAGGAGGUUCUUGGCACUUCUAUCCCCCUCCCUUCGUCUGAGCCAGUGGGGGCGGGAGAACUCAAACAGGUAAAAAAUUUAAAAUAGAAGCAAAUGAAUCACCCUUUAUUAGACAAAGGAAUGGAGAACCAGGAAGGAAAAUCCCUCCUCUCCUUUUAGGUCUGCUCUGUGCAAAGCCUAUAGUUCUGGGUUGGAGGGUGGGGGAACAGGCUGGGGUGGGUAGGAGGGUGCAGCCUGAAGUUCAGAGAGGGGGUUAUUUUCACCAUUUAGACAUCCAGACAGAAUACGAAAAGAGAACACAACCUUCCCUUCUUCUCUGCCUCCUCCAGAGUUGUGGAGUGGGGAGGAGUGUAGGGGGAGUGUCCCAGGGGAUGCUCUUUUAUAUACAUUAUAAGGUGCAUUCAUUUAAAGUAAGUUCCACGCUCGACAUUGGGGCUUGAACCCAUGACCCUGAGAUCAAGAGUUGCAUGCUCUACUAUUGAGACAGCCAGGGCCCUUUCUUUCUUUCUUUCUUUCUUUCUUUCUUUCUUUCUUUCUUUCUUUCUUUCUUUCUUUCUUUCUUCUCUUUUUUAAUUUUUUAUAUUUUAUAUAUAAAAAUAUAAAUUUAUUUAUUUACUUACUUACUUACAUACAAAGGUAUAUUUCUUUGUAUGUAAAUAGCUCCUGCCAAUGUCUUAAACUUGAACAUGUUGGAAUCACCUGGGGAUCUUGUUAAAACACAGAUUCUCAUUUAUUACAUCUGGGGUGGGUCUGGAUCCCGAAUUUAGAACAAACUUCAUAUGCUGCUGAUGUUGCUUAGAGGAUCAAAAUCCUAAACUACACCCUUUGUCUGAGAUCUAAUCCUGGGUUCUCAAACUUGCCUGUGACAUAUGGCCUGCAGCCUUAUUUUAUUGCCCAAGAGCAUUUUUCCACUUUAUUUAAAGAAAUGAAAUCUGGGGGCGCCUGGGUGGCUCAGUCGGUUAAGUGUCCGACUUCGGCCCAGGUCAUGAUCUCGCGGUCUGUGGGUUUGAGCCCCGCGUCAGGCUCUGUGCUGACAGCUCAGAGCCUGGAGCCUGUUUCAGAUUCUGUGUCUCCCUCUUUCUCUGACCCUCCCCUGUUCAUGCUCUCUCUCUCUGUCUCAAAAAUAAAUAAACGUUAAAAAAAUUAAAAAAAAAAAAG